rnacentral:rRNA from 1 species
UACGAAGGGGGCUAGCGUUGUUCGGAAUUACUGGGCGUAAAGCGCACGUAGGCGGACAUCUAAGUCAGGGGUGAAAUCCCAGAGCUCAACUCUGGAACUGCCUUUGAUACUGGGUGUCUUGAGUAUGGAAGAGGUGAGUGGAAUUCCGGAGUGUUAGAGGUGAAAUUCGUAGAUAUUCGGAGGAACACCAGUGGCGAAGGCGGCUCACUGGUCCAUUACUGACGCUGGAGGUGCGAAAGCGUGGGGAGCAAACAGG